AGUGAACGCUGGCGGUAGGCCUAACACAUGCAAGUCGAACGGCAGCACAGUAAGAGCUUGCUCUUACGGUUGGCGAGUGGCGGACGGGUGAGGAAUACAUCGGAAUCUACUUUUUCGUGGGGGAUAACGUAGGGCAACUUACGCUAAUACCGCAUACGACCUACGGGUGAAAGCAGUGGAUCUUCGGACCUUGCGCGAUUCACUGAGCCGAUGGCGGAUUAGCUAGUUGGCUGGGUAAAGGCCCACCAAGGCAACGAUCCGUAGCUGGUCUGAGAGGAUGAUCGGCCACACUGGAACUGAGACACGGUCCAGACUCCUACGGGAGGCAGCAGUGGGGAAUAUUGGACAAUGGGCGCAAGCCUGAUCGAGCAAUACCGCGUGAGUGAAGAAGGUCUUCGGGUUGUAAAGCUCUUUUGUUAGGAAAGAAAAGCAGCAGGUUAAUAUCUGGCUGUUCUGACGGUACCUAAAGAAUAAGCAACGGCUAACUUCGUG
rnacentral:rRNA from 1 species